rnacentral:rRNA from 1 species
AGUCGAGCGAACAGACGAGGAGCUUGCUCCUCUGACGUUAGCGGCGGACGGGUGAGUAACACGUGGAUAACCUACCUAUAAGACUGGGAUAACUUCGGGAAACCGGAGCUAAUACCGGAUAAUAUAUUGAACCGCAUGGUUCAAUAGUGAAAGACGGUUUUGCUGUCACUUAUAGAUGGAUCCGCGCCGCAUUAGCUAGUUGGUAAGGUAACGGCUUACCAAGGCAACGAUGCGUAGCCGACCUGAGAGGGUGAUCGGCCACACUGGAACUGAGACACGGUCCAGACUCCUACGGGAGGCAGCAGUAGGGAAUCUUCCGCAAUGGGCGAAAGCUUGACGGAGCAACGCCGCGUGAGUGAUGAAGGUCUUCGGAUCGUAAAACUCUGUUAUUAGGGAAGAACAAAUGUGUAAGUAACUAUGCACGUCUUGACGGUACCUAAUCAGAAAGCCACGGCUAACUACGUGCCAGCAGCCGCGGUAAUACGUAGGUGGCAAGCGUUAUCCGGAAUUAUUGGGCGUAAAGCGCGCGUAGGCGGUUUUUUAAGUCUGAUGUGAAAGCCCACGGCUCAACCGUGGAGGGUCAUUGGAAACUGGAAAACUUGAGUGCAGAAGAGGAAAGUGGAAUUCCAUGUGUAGCGGUGAAAUGCGCAGAGAUAUGGAGGAACACCAGUGGCGAAGGCGACUUUCUGGUCUGUAACUGACGCUGAUGUGCGA